rnacentral:rRNA from 1 species
UACGUAGGGUGCGAGCGUUGUCCGGAAUUAUUGGGCGUAAAGGGCUCGUAGGCGGUCUGUCACGUCGGGAGUGAAAACUCAGGGCUUAACCCUGAGCCUGCUUCCGAUACGGGCAGACUAGAGGUAUGCAGGGGAGAACGGAAUUCCUGGUGUAGCGGUGAAAUGCGCAGAUAUCAGGAGGAACACCGGUGGCGAAGGCGGUUCUCUGGGCAUUACCUGACGCUGAGACGCGAAAGCGUGGGGAGCAAACAGG